rnacentral:rRNA from 1 species
CGGCACUUUCACCUUUUUAAAGGAACUUGUUCCUUAAUCGACAAUCCACGAUAACUUUCACUUUAAUUAACAAUUUAUAUACCGCCGCACUAAGAACCAAUCUACAAAUAUAUUCUCAAUAAAAAAUAAAAAAUCAGGUCAAGGUGUAAUUUACUAUUAAAGAAAUUAAUGAGUUACAUUAAAAACAAUUUAAGAAUUAAAACAAUAAAUUAAAUAUGAAAAAGAAUUUAAAAGUACUUUUGUAAUAAUAAUUCAAAAAGAAAUAGAUAAUAAAUGUGC